rnacentral:sRNA from 1 species
GUUCUUUAGGACUGCGGAUCCUGCGUUCGGCACGGGUCCUCAUCCACCCCGUGUCGCAACCGACCCGUCCGGUGAUCCCCCCGGGCGGGUC